rnacentral:rRNA from 1 species
CGGAGGAAAAGAAACCAACAGGGAUUGCCUUAGUAGCGGCGAGUGAAGCGGCAAAAGCUCAAAUUUGAAAUCUGGCGCCUUCGGUGUCCGAGUUGUAAUUUGAAGAUUGUAACCUUGGGGUUGGCUCUUGUCUAUGUUUCUUGGAACAGGACGUCACAGAGGGUGAGAAUCCCGUGCGAUGAGAUGCCCAAUUCUAUGUAAGGUGCUUUCGAAGAGUCGAGUUGUUUGGGAAUGCAGCUCUAAGUGGGUGGUAAAUUCCAUCUAAAGCUAAAUAUUGGCGAGAGACCGAUAGCGAACAAGUACAGUGAUGGAAAGAUGAAAAGAACUUUGAAAAGAGAGUGAAAAAGUACGUGAAAUUGUUGAAAGGGAAGGGUUUGAGAUCAGACUCGAUAUUUUGUGAGCCUUGCCUUCGUGGCGGGGUGACCCGCAGCUUAUCGGGCCAGCAUCGGUUUGGGCGGUAGGAUAAUGGCGUAGGAAUGUGACUUUACUUCGGUGAAGUGUUAUAGCCUGCGUUGAUGCUGCCUGCCUAGACCGAGGACUGCGAUUUUAUCAAGGAUGCUGGCAUAAUGAUCCCAAACCGCCCGUCUUGAA